AUGCAGUGAUGAGCGGAAGUAUAGUUUGACCCGGUAGAGCCACAGUUUCCCACAUUUGGCCCUGACCAGGAGAUGAUCACUUAAUCUUCUCUCUGAGCUG